GCCCCGUACGGUUAGCUCAGUUGGUUAGAGCGUGGUGCUGAUAACGCCAAGGUCGCGGGUUCGAUCCCCGUACGGGCCA